UAAAAACCUCGGUGAGCUCAGAUGAGGAC
rnacentral:piRNA from 1 species